AAUAACCAGAUGUUAUGGUUAUUGUACUUACAACAUGGUGGUAAUGUUUAUUAUGUAAUUCUCCUUUAUGAGUAGAUGCCUCUGGAAAUUAUUUCUUUGCUCUUUCUAGGUAGAAGUUGAGAAAAUGGUGAAAAUUUAAAUCUGAAGUAUUAUGUAAUGGGUACAUAUUCAAUUAAAAAUCUUAUUUUUUUACAUUGAAGGCCACAUUGUAUCACACCUGUGAGACUAACUAGAAAUAACUGCAUGCUCAGAUAUUUAUUCUAGUAGUGGAAAUGCUACAUGUUUUCUGCUUUGCUUUGAAUAAAGCCCUUCACAGUAUGAUCCAGUUUUCUAGAUACCGGGUGCCAAGAAAAAAGCUGUCGAUUUUUAGUAUAAUAUGAGGGUAAUGACAGAGCAUGGAAAAGCUUAAUGCUCCCAGCGAAAUGAAGGGCAUUGACAUACUGAAAAAUCAGGCCUACUAACAAAAAAUUAACAAAGAUGGUAACUACAAGCUAGUUCUGCAAAAGGGAGCAGAGCUAAAAUGAGCAAAGGACAACAAAACUUCUAAAAGACAGCUGGCAAAUAAAUAGAUUAGUGAAAACAUGAGCAAAUCACUCCGCUGUAAGACCAACAGGAAAUUAGGGGCUUUGGUUGAAUAUCUGUACUACUUCAGAUUUAAUACUGUUAUGCUCCCUUUUCUUAGAUUUUUUUUUUGUCUUUGUUUUGUAUUAAAGUAAGUAUAAAGGAUAGCAAGGUUGAUGCUUUAAAAAAAAAAAGUUUCAGAUUUUUAACUGUUUAAAACAUUCUUGAUUUAUAGCAGGUUAUUUCUGAUGAGAUAAAGUGAAAGAAGGCAUAAACUAAUCCCAAAGGCAGAAAACUCAGUUUGCUUAUAAACAGUAUUUAAAAAUUAAACUGCAGAUAGUAUGCUUAGACAUAUAAUAAAUAUUCUUUAAUGCAAAAACUGUUCUGUAAUUUAGUAGUAGAGAAUUCUAAAUUUUGGGCUACGUUGGUAAUAGUUAUUUGGGGUUUUUUAGUGUCUCGACAUACUCCUUACUAACGUUACUGCCUUAGUCAUAGUUACAUCUGGCUUAAAACUUCUCCUUCUGACUAUUACCGUUGAUUCUGAAGUCCUGUGCUGGCUCACUUAAAAGCUCUCACAGGUCCGCAGAGAUUCUUAACAUUCUUUUCAGUACAAGACCGUUGAUAAAGGAUGCCAUGUAUAGUGUGUGUAUUUGUGAUCUGAUUGUUAUUGGCAGACUGGUUUCCAGAAGGAGACAGCCCUUGUAGUUUAUUUGUUGUUGCUCUUCAGGCUCUGUCUGACUUGUCAAGCAGUUAACUGGGAUAGUCUUCAUUGGCUUGGCUGCUUAAGGUAUUUAAGAUCUUAAACCAGAAGUCUGCCUUUAGGUAGGACCUUUGGUUCAGUAAUGCAGAGGGGACAUGUUUAAAACCAAAAGGAAUCUUUUUAUAGUUUGCAAACUUUAUUGCAGAGAAGAAAUUUUAUUUUGGGACUUGAGAAGAUCAUAGGUGAUGUGAUAUUAUUUUUUUUCCUAUUAGAUUUUCACAAGCAUUUACAUUGAGAUUUUCUCUUGCGUAGGGAAGCUCUUUUUAAAAUAUCUUGAUGUCGUUCAUUCAGUCCCGAAGUUGUGUCCUGCUGUUUGUGACCCCAUGAACCACAGCACGUGAGAUGCUGUUUAAGAACAAGGGUACUUGAUGGAAUCACAUUCUAAAAUUGUCAGUUUGAAACAGUUGGCAUUAUUCAUUCAUAAACCUAAUAGGUAUUUAUCAAGCACUUGGAGAGUCAGGAUAAAAGUGGUCAGUGUGGGAGUUCAGUUGUCUGGGUUUAUCUCCUGGCUUGGGCUUGUGACCUUAUGCGAGUUACUUAAACAUUUCUGUUUCUUAAACAUUCAGAUCAUAAAACCAGAUCACUGUAACAUGUACCUUGUUAAGGUUGCUAGGGCAAACUGAAGUGAUGCAUGUGAAGUUAAGUGAUUGCCAUACACUUGGUGAGUACUCAGCAAAUGUUUGUUGUCAUUUGCCAGACUCUGGCCCAGGUGCUGGGGAUGUGGUGAGCAAAAAUUAUUCCUCUGGAGCAGAGUCUCUUGAUAAUCAGAUUAGGAAAUUGGGAAAAAAUUGUUUUCUGUGUAAAAUUUAUAUUUGUUCAGCUUGUUAAAGUGCCAUUUUUGUGGUCUGAAUAUGUAUAGGUUGUGUUAAAUAUAUUUGACAGUGUUCAAAAGUGUUAUUCUGUAGAAUGAAGUUGGAUAUUUCGUUAGAGAUUUUGGUAAAGUGAGGAAGGAUCUCAGUAAUUACUGACAAAAGGGAAUUUUUGCUUAGAUGAUAUAAAUUUAGACAGUCUUAAUCGAUAGACAUUUUUGAGGGAAAGUGAUUAGGCCGCUGUUUUAUGAAAGGUGGUAAAAUUAUAUAUGGUCGUGUUUUAUUUAUUCUUGCUAUUUUCUUUGUUCUUUUUAGUUUUCUGAAAUUUUUAGGAUAAAUUCUCACAUUUGUUUAGCCCACAAUCACCUUACUUUCUGUUUAUUAAUUAAACUAAAGGUAAUCUGAAUGUUUCCACUUUUGACAAGUUAACAUAUGAGUUUACUGGUUUCUAAAAGUCAUAAAAACAGUUUUAACUACAAAGCACUAUUUUUACAUUUAUUUCAAGGCAUGUAUAGUCAAGAUUUAUAGUCCGUUUGCCUUUUAACUGUAUUACUUUAAUGAACAGGGUCAGAUGGUCGCAUUUUCUGGUGGUAGAGCGCAAGUGUAGAGCAGACUCAGCGGGGAGGAGGCCGUGAGGACGACGCUGCAGCGGGGCCCUCACUUUCCCAGCGGUGACACCACCGCAGACGGCGGGCGCUGGCUUGGUUUUGUUUUGUCCUAAUAUAUGGUUAAACUGAAGAAUUGCGAUUAGCCAGCUCAGCAGCUCCACCCGCUCCCGUUAUUAUAGAGCUCAGUCUUUUUAAACAUAUGACUGCGGUGCUAUAGAAAUAUCUGGUUUGUUUAUUAUCUUAUUUUCAGCUAAGUAAUUUAUUUGAAUAGUUAAAGGACGAUUACAUCAUCACUUUGGGAUGUUGCCAUUGUUCAAAUGUAUUUGGUACAUAACUGCUGAGAUUACUGUCAGAGGGCAUUUAAGAGAAAUCCUCAACUGUAUCUUUGUCCUUUGAAGGAGGAAUUAAUUUUGUUUUCUAGA